AUGAACGCUGGCGGCAUGCCUUACACAUGCAAGUCGAACGGCAGCACGGGGGCAACCCUGGUGGCGAGUGGCGAACGGGUGAGUAAUACAUCGGAACGUGUCCUGUAGUGGGGGAUAGCCCGGCGAAAGCCGGAUUAAUACCGCAUACGAUCUGUGGAUGAAAGCGGGGGAUCCUUCGGGACCUCGCGCUGCAGGGGCGGCCGAUGGCAGAUUAGCUAGUUGGUGGGGUAAAGGCCUACCAAGGCGACGAUCUGUAGCUGGUCUGAGAGGACGACCAGCCACACUGGGACUGAGGCACGGCCCAGACUCCUACGGGAGGCAGCAGUGGGGAAUUUUGGACAAUGGGGGAAACCCUGAUCCAGCAAUGCCGCGUGUGUGAAGAAGGCCUUCGGGUUGUAAAGCACUUUUGUCCGGAAAGAAAACCUCCGUCCUAAUACGGUGGGGGGAUGACGGUACCGGACGAAUAAGCACCGGCUAACUACGUGCCAGCAGCCGCGGUAAUACGUAGGGUGCAAGCGUUAAUCGGAAUUACUGGGCGUAAAGCGUGCGCAGGCGGUUCGCUAAGACAGAUGUGAAAUCCCCGGGCUUAACCUGGGAACUGCAUUUGUGACUGGCGGGCUAGAGUAUGGCAGAGGGGGGUAGAAUUCCACGUGUAGCAGUGAAAUGCGUAGAGAUGUGGAGGAAUACCGAUGGCGAAGGCAGCCCCCUGGGCCAAUACUGACGCUCAUGCACGAAAGCGUGGGGAGCAAACAGGAUUAGAUACCCUGGUAGUCCACGCCCUAAACGAUGUCAACUAGUUGUCGGGUCUUCAUUGACUUGGUAACGUAGCUAACGCGUGAAGUUGACCGCCUGGGG
rnacentral:rRNA from 1 species